GUUCAACUGCCAAGGUUUUCAUGUCACACUUCACUUGCCACUGAGGAAUUGGAUCAGGAGACAGACAGAUAUUGACCACAUGAGAAAGUGCCCUGUCCACCUUCAGAUAAAUUUUGAAUAAGGAAGAAAGCAAAGGAAAAUGCAGGGGGAACAAGGCAAUUGAGUCUCAGAGAAGUUAAUGAACUCUGCAAGGAUACGGAGAUUCCGAA